rnacentral:rRNA from 1 species
AAUGGGCCCGAAACCGGGUGACCUACCCAUGGUCAGGUUGAAGUGGAAGUAAAAUUCCAUGGAGGACCGAACCGACCUCCGUUGAAAAGGCGGCGGAUGAACUGUGGGUAGCGGAGAAAUUCCAAUCGAACCCGGAGAUAGCUGGUUCUCCCCGAAAUAGUUUUAGGACUAGCCUCAAGUUAGAUACCUGGAGGUAAAGCACUGAAUAGCCUAGCGGCCGAGAGGUUAGCGAAGCUUAUCAAACUCAGAAUGCCAGAGUAUUGAUGCUUGGGAGUCAGACAGUGUCAGAUAAAUGUCAUUGUCAAAAGGGAAACAGCCCAGAUCUACAGCUAAGGUCCCAAAGUCAGGUUAAGUGGAAAACGAUGUGAAGAUACGUAGACAACCAGGAUGUUGGCUCAGAAGCAGCCACUCAUUCAAAGAGUGCGUAAUAGCUCACUGGUCGAGCGUCUUUGCGCGGAGAAUUUAACGGGGCUAAACCUGACACCGAAGCUUAGGCAAUACAGCAAUGUAUUGGGUAGGGGAGCGUUGUAUACGCGGUGAAACAGUAGCGCAAGCGGCUGUGGAGUGUAUAGAAGUGAGAAUGCCGGAAUGAGUAGCGCGAAUGCAGUGAGAAUCUGCAUGGCCGAAAGCCUCAGGUUUCUGGAGGAAGGUUCGUCCGCUCCAGGUUAGUCGGGAGCUAAGGUGAGGCCUAACGGCGUAGCCGAUGCACAGACGGUAGAGAUUCCGUCACCACCAAAAGAGUUAAACACAGGGACACAUUUGAAGUCUCGGAGCCGGGUGUUGGUUCCGGUAGCGAUCGAGGGAAGUUAGUACCGAAGUCCGGGAUGGAAGAUGGCGAGAAAAGCUGUGUGUAUUUCUGCGGUGCCCGUACCGCAAACCGACACAGGUAGGUAGGAAGAAGAUUCUAAGGCCAACGGGAGAAGGGUUGUUAAGGAACUCGGCAAAUUGACCCCGUAACUUCGGGAGAAGGGGUGCUCCAGAGAUGGAGCCGCAGAGAAUCGGCCCAAGCAACUGUUUACCAAAAACACAGGUUUGUGCUAAAUCGAAAGAUGACGUAUACGAGCUGACGCCUGCCCGGUGCUGGAAGGUUAAGAGGAGAUGUGCAAGCAUUGAAUCGAAGCCCCAGUGAACGGCGGCCGUAACUAUAACGGUCCUAAGGUAGCGAAAUUCCUUGUCAGGUAAGUUCUGACCCGCAUGAAAGGCGUAAUGAUUUGGGCACUGUCUCGACAGCCCGCCCGGCGAAAUUGUAGUACCGGUGAAGAUGCCGGUUACCCGCGACAAGACGGAAAGACCCCAUGGAGCUUUACUGUAGCCUAAUAUUGGGUUUCGAUGUUGCAUGCACAGGAUAGAUGGGACACAGGGAAACAAGUGCUUUGGCAUUUGUGGAGUGGCCGUUGGGAUACCAUCCUUGCGAUAUUGGAAUUCUAACCUGCGCCUUUGAAUCAAGGCGGGGGACAUUGUUAGGUGGGCAGUUUGACUGGGGCGGUCGCCUCCUAAAGAGUAACGGAGGCGUUCAAAGGUUCGCUCAGCUUGAACGGAAAUCAAGCAAAAGAGUGCAAACGCAGAAGCGAGCCUAACUGCGAGACUGACGGGUCGAGCAGUAACGAAAGUUGGAGUUAGUGAUCCGGUGGUAUGUGAGUGGAAAUGCCAUCGCUCAACGGAUAAAAGUUACCCUGGGGAUAACAGGCUGAUCUCCCCCAAGAGUCCACAUCGACGGGGAGGUUUGGCACCUCGAUGUCGGCUCAUCGCAUCCUGGGGCUGUAUUCGGUCCCAAGGGUUUGGCUGUUCGCCAAUUAAAGCGGUACGCGAGCUGGGUUCAGAACGUCGUGAGACAGUUCGGUCC